AUACGCGCUCCGGGGUCGGUGAAACUCCGAGCCGGCGGUGACAGUCCGCGACCCGACCGCAGCCAGCGGCCGGUUGACCUGGUGGAACUCCAGGACCGACGGUGAAAGUCCGGAAGGGAGGCAGCGCGUGG
rfam:Serinicoccus sp. JLT9, complete genome.